rnacentral:rRNA from 1 species
UACAGAGGGUGCAAGCGUUAAUCGGAAUUACUGGGCGUAAAGCGUGCGUAGACGGUUACAUAAGUCAGGUGUGAAAGCCCCGGGCUCAACCUGGGAAUUGCAUUUGAGACUGUGUAGCUAGGGUGCGGAAGAGGGAAGCGGAAUUUCAGGUGUAGCGGUGAAAUGCGUAGAUAUCUGAAGGAACACCAGUGGCGAAGGCGACUACCUGGACCGCAACUGACACUGAGGCGCGAAAGCGUGGGUAGCAAACAGG